ensembl:processed_transcript
UUUUUUAAUAUUGGAAACGUGUAACCAUUGACUUCCAAAUCUGUUUUUCCCACUAUAGAAGUCAAUGGUUACAGAUUUUUAGCUUUCUUCAAAAUAUCUUGGUUUGUGAUCAACAGAAGAAAGUCAAUAAGGUUUGAAACCACUUGAGGGAGAGUAAAAAUAUUCUGUACUGUCAAUGAGGAAAGGCACUUUUUAUUCACGUAUGAGGAAUAUUCAUCUUGUAGAAGAAAAACAAAUAACAUUCAAAAAAUUGUUUGUUCUUACAUGCUCAACUUAUAAUGGGUACAGUCUACUGUAUAUAUAAGAUGUUUGCAGUUCACUAUCCAGAGGUCUGCAAAUGUGGUUGGGUUUUCUGUAUUGUGUUAUAUUAAAAAUCAUAUGGUGAAUUUUAAAAUAUAUAUUAUUAAUAAACAUGAUUUAAACUUUUGCAUUAUUUCCCCAGAUUAUAUGCAUCAGCCCUCACUGCGUGUCUGACGGUGGACUACUGGAGUUCAUCACAGGCUCGACGAGAAUGCAGAACUUUGCACUACACUUGCU